GAUGAACGCUGGCGGCGUGCCUAAUACAUGCAAGUCGAGCGAACAGACGAGGAGCUUGCUCCUCUGACGUUAGCGGCGGACGGGUGAGUAACACGUGGAUAACCUACCUAUAAGACUGGGAUAACUUCGGGAAACCGGAGCUAAUACCGGAUAAUAUAUUGAACCGCAUGGUUCAAUAGUUAAAGACGGUUUUGCUGUCACUUAUAGAUGGAUCCGCGCCGCAUUAGCUAGUUGGUAAGGUAACGGCUUACCAAGGCAACGAUGCGUAGCCGACCUGAGAGGGUGAUCGGCCACACUGGAAGUGAGACACGGUCCAGACUCCUACGGGAGGCAGCAGUAGGGAAUCUUCCGCAAUGGACGAAAGCCUGACGGAGCAACGCCGCGUGAGUGAUGAAGGUCUUCGGAUCGUAAAACUCUGUUAUUAGGGAAGAACAAAUGUGUAAGUAACUAUGCACGUCUUGACGGUACCUAAUCAGAAAGCCACGGCUAACUACGUG
rnacentral:rRNA from 1 species